CCAAGCUCAGCGGUCUCUCGUGUUCUCCGUGGAGAAGUAAAUAAAAUCUCCACCAACUGGCCAGUGAAACUCAUUUCGAAAGCAUGGGACGCUGCGAGAGGCUCUUGCAGACACGUGGCCACAGCGAGACCAGCAGCACAGCGCCAGGUUUCCAGGCGAGGAGGACUGGGCAUCCAAGACCCCAAGCAUUGAGCUGGUGGCCGAAGGUGCAGUGUCAGCGCAGCUGUUUGCUCUAAAUUUCCAAUCAGGCCAACCUUCCUAGGGCUCUGUGAGGAUGGACCAGAUCUGCCUCAUGCAGCAAGACUGAAGCCAGACCAUAUCCAUGGAUGUUCUCCAGUUUACCUAGCCUUUGAUCUGAAGCAGCAACUAUACCUAGGGUCUCAAUGAAGAAGAUUCACUGUAUCUCUUUCUCUACACUGUUAUAGAUUUUCUUAAGCUUUUGCCUAAUUGCCAACUCCAGUGGACAGUUCUUAAUUCUGUUUGACCCCUCUCCUGCAUUUGAACACUUCAAAUUUUCUCUCCACCAUUUUCCAUGGUCCACUU